GGUAAAGUGCCCGUCCCGUCCCGUCCCGUCCCGCCGCGGGGCCCGGGGAGCGCUGCGGCUGCCGCCGCGCCGCGCCGGGCCGAGCCUCCGCGGGGUCUCGGGAGAAAUUAAACCGCCUCCAGGAGCGUCGCUUCAUGACCCGGCGCCCCGCGCGUAGCGGAGCGGGGAGGCGCUCGCCUGGUCCGCGGCGGCGGCGGCUGUGCCCGCGGCCUGGCUGGGGGCUCCCCGCUCGCUCCCCGCUCGCGUUUCCUCUUCUUUUCUCCCUGGGUUGUGUUUAUAUGCAAACGCGGCCCGCAAAAUGAGCCGUGGUAAAUGAGACUGAGAAGUAACGUAAGCUGCUUUUUAUUUACUUGAACGGCGCCUUGUUGGGGUUUUUGGGUUUUUUUUCUUUCAAAAUGCAGCUAAAGAAGUUAAUAUGACGGCUGUGCUUAAAAAUAUCAACCGCUGCUUUCCUUGUGAUCCUGGCGGAACAGAAAAUCAUCCGAGCUGCAGCGCCGCCGCGAUAGGACACAAACCCUCAUUCCAUCCUUCUGUGUUGCACUUAUUGCACUUGCAUGCUUACUUCUCCCCCUGUGUUCUCCCCAAAUGGUUCACAUUUUUCUGGAAGUGCAGCACCCGAGACUGGACACGGUGCUGCAGGUUGCUUUCUCUUUUGCACUUUGGUCACUUCACUUCCAUCUAUAUGGAAAUUUAAGACUGAAACAGAAGAUCUGAAUGUAAAACUGCUAAUAUUUCAGAGGGGCACAGCUACUUGUCCUUCUCCUACUUUCUCUGUUUGGUCUAUAUUUUGUAAAACUUACUAUUGUUUUACCAGAAUUUGAUUACAUGAAUCCCAAGCAGUGAUGGAGAAGAAAUAAAAAUAAAUAAAUGGAGAUAACUUUUAUUCUU
rnacentral:lncRNA from 1 species